AACCCCUCAAGCAACGCUUGGUGUUGGGCGCCUGUCCCGCCUCCGCGCGCGGACUCGCCCCGAAGACAUUGGCGGCCUGUGUAUUGGCCACGAGCGCAGCAGACCCGCGGCUCGUGCCCUCUCGCGCGGGCGCUCCACGAAGCGACCACCCCCAG
rnacentral:misc_RNA from 1 species